rnacentral:misc_RNA from 1 species
UUUUAUUUAAUUUUGAUUGUAAAAUUAAAUUCUUUAAUAUAGAUUUUUUAAUAUUAAGAAGUUCAGGAAGUAGUAUUUUAUUUUUAUUUAGGAAAAUUAGUUGGCUUGGGAUUCCAAAUCCUGGUAGUAGCAAAGUUAAGUAUUCUACUGUAAAUGCCUAUGUCCUUUAAGUAUUUCGAUAGACUUUUAUUAUUGACAAUUUGAGAAUUG